ACUAAUUUGGCAGAUAAGUGCGGUGGAUUUAGAAUCUAUAAUAUGUGGUUUGAUGUACACAUUUAGUA
rnacentral:tRNA from 1 species